rnacentral:rRNA from 1 species
GAUGAACGCUGGCGGCGUGCCUAAUACAUGCAAGUCGAGCGAACGGACGAGAAGCUUGCUUCUCUGAUGUUAGCGGCGGACGGGUGAGUAACACGUGGAUAACCUACCUAUAAGACUGGGAUAACUUCGGGAAACCGGAGCUAAUACCGGAUAAUAUUUUGAACCGCAUGGUUCAAAAGUGAAAGACGGUCUUGCUGUCACUUAUAGAUGGAUCCGCGCUGCAUUAGCUAGUUGGUAAGGUAACGGCUUACCAAGGCAACGAUGCAUAACCGACCUGAGAGGUGAAUGGGCCCCACUGGACCUGGGCAACGGUCCAGCUCCCUAGGGAAGGCGGAAUAGGGAAAUUUUCCGAAUGGGGGGAAGCCCGAACGAGCCAAGGCCCCGUAGGUGAGAAGGUUCUUCGAUUGGUAAAACUCUUUAUUAGGGAAGAACAUAUGUGUAAGUAACUGUGCACAUCUUGACGGUACCUAAUCAGAAAGCCACGGCUAACUACGUG